ACUUGAUAUCUUUUGGUUUUGUUACGAGAAGAUCAAGAUCUUUGAUAAGAUAGUAAUGACACUUUGUUCUGCAAUCAAGGAAUGAAUGGAACUUCAAGACCCUGUUGAACAUGCACUCAAUUUAGUCACAAAGAAAAAUAAGAACAAUUGUGUUGGGCAACCUCGCCCACAGGAGGAAAAGCUCACAGUUUGGAUGAGGAUCUGUAGUCCAAAGGUUGGUCAGGUCCUGAUGGAUUGAGAAGGUGAAUAAAUCUAUUCUUGUGAUUGAUUUCUUUUGUGCUUUUGUUUCAAUUGAUUUAAGAGGUGAGAAACCUUGAGAUUUCUGAAUGUUUUUUCCCAGUAUGGUUGAUCUUGGUUUUGGACAGACUCAUGUUUGAUAAGCCUUGUGUUUUGUGUGUUCUGGCCAAGGAGUGGAGAGGUUUAAGGACCAUUAUACUUAUCUUCAUGCAACUAACUAUAUGUUUAGAUUCGUUAGCUAUAGAAGUCUUCGUACUCUUUGGCCGUUUAGUUAGUUCUGAAGACAGAUGGUGAAUUGAUUUUGCAACUACAGUGGUCAGAAAAUGAUUUUUUUGUAAUUGUUGACCGUUUAGUUAGAAAUGUGUCAACAAUCUGUGAUGUAUAAAGAUUGCACUGAUCAUUAGAGCCUAUAGUUUUGGGCUAAAAAAGAGUCACGGGUUUGAUCUUCAGUUUGAUACAAAUUUUGCAGCUUUGCAGCCCACGACAUGCUUGAAUUUUGGUAUAGUAAGAUGGUAGAUUAUCCAUUAUUAUUAUUUUUAUACACUGUCUUCUUUGUUUUCACUUACCGAGUACCUUCCUUACGGAACCUUUGCUCUCAACCUGUAUUAAUUUACUUUACCCUUACAACCUAAGUAUCUUUGCUUUCAACCUGCAUUAUUAUUACUAUCUCCGAUGCAAAAUAAACAUAUAUCUUUCCUUUCACUUACUGGGUACCUUCCUUACUGUACCUUUGCUCUCAACCUGUAUUAAUUUAAAAUUGAGGGAGAUUGAGUAGGAGUGCCUUUUUUAUAUAAAAUGGAUUCAACAACCAACUUUAGCCAAGAACAAACCAUCAACAAGGAAGUGUAACCUGGGAUAGGUAUGCAGAAAUCCUUGAGAAAAGACACAAAUCACACUGAAAUACUACUUUUUAGGGAUUUAUUAUGGUUCGUCAAACUUUCACUACAAAACUAAAAAUGGUUAUGGAGAGAGGAAGUUGAUUUUCGCAUUUCACUUCACUUUACAAUUUAAAUUUUUUGUUGAAAGAAGAGUGAGUUCAGCCAUGAACAUAUGCAUGAUUAUAUAAUUACAUGCUUGCACCUCAACGACAAUCGACGUCUGCUGGACCUAUGAAGUUUUUUGGUCUGAUGAGUUCGUUCCCAUUUGUUUUGCAGGUUCUAUGAUAUCGUGCUUUGUCCCAUCUCUGUUCUAUUCAUCAAGCUUUGCUCAUUUCAAAAGGAGAAUCCCUGCAGGGCAGCCACACAUGACCCCACUCCUCAGUUUAUUCGUUCAUGGCACAUCAGCUCUUUCACCCACUUGACCCAGCGAUAAAACAAAGGGUUCAGUUCACCCAGUCAUGCCCAAAGUAGCCUCACUCCGUUGUAUUCCCUUGCAGGACUUGAUCCGCUGUCACUCUCCGACUAAUUAUCAUUCAAGAUGGAGGUUUUACUUUCCAGCUUCACCAAUUUGUUAGAUUUGGUAACUGAGGUCACGAGUGCAAAAGUAAUACAGGCAUGCCAAACAAAUCUGAGCCAUUCAUGUCAACCUGCUCCUCAUUCAUUUCAUUCAAAAAAUUAAAUCAGAAAAAUUGUGGAUGUUAUUGUGGCAUCAAUACGGCUUCAUUCUGAUUGGUCCGGCGCGACAGAGGUCAAUCUUCAUCAUGAAUGCCUAUAUGCAUUUAUUAAUAUCUUUUAUUGUUUGUGUUUAGUGCAUAAAAACUGCAAUAGAUUCCCACCUCUUAUUAUGGAUGCACAAGUUCUUCACAAUGUUUCCAUUGCUGAUAUCUUUGCCCUGUCUGUCUUGGUUAAAUGUCAGUGCUUCACAAUGCACUUUUUACAUUGCACGAUCUAACAAUGCAUGCCAGACUUCUGAUAAUUGUACAAUAGUAUGCGGUGAUGCUAAUAAGACAUGCUGAAUGCAGAGUUUUAUUUCAUCUAUGUUAGUACCCAUGCGAAUAUUGAAUUAUUUUACUUAGAUGGUUUAACACAUGUCAUAAUAUAGGUGGUAGUUAGGAGAAGGCAUUAAUCUUUUUGUUUCUUUAGCAAAUAGUAGUAGUUCUCAUGUUACAGGGUGCGUGGACAAACUGAUGCAAGGGGCAUUGUUUCACACAACACCCACACCAAUGACCACUGGACGAGUGAAGCAAAGGGACUUGUGAACAACAUGAAAAACUUUCAGCCAUCUUUUGAUUACACGGAAAUAUGCCUUUGAUGCAUCUAUGUUAUUAUUUACUGAACGACUGUGUUUAGCAACUUCAGUGUGUAUAUCAAAAUUACUACUCCCUCCAUCCGAAAAAGCUUGUCCCUCAAAUGGAUGUAUGUAGCAUCAAGUUAGUGCUAGAUACAUCCAUUUGAGGAAUAAGCUUGAGACAUGCUUUUUCGGACUGAGGGAGUAUAUGAUGUAAUUGACCACUAUCACUAAGAAGUGCUUCUGGACACAAUGCUCUAUUUUAUCAUGUCUAUAGUGCAUUUUAUUGUGCCACCUGCAUAUAUAGCUACUUGAAUCUUCUAAUUGCAAACUCAAACAUUUGCAUUUUGUUCUUCGUUUCAGUUGGGCUUUUGCGUCAAUUUUAUCAAUUUCAUAGAUUACAAAUGAGAAAAAAUAUAUUUUUAUACAGAUCCACGACGCUUUGCAAAAGAGCAUACAUCAACAUCGUCUGCUACCAAAAAAAACAAAGUAAUCUCUUUUAGUUCUUGCUUCAAAUUUGUCUCGCGCGCCAAAUGGCGCGACAGGUCAUCUAGUCAGACCUAAAACACAACAUAGCAAGUACCCAUAUGCCAGUGUCAUAGACUCGCAUCCCAUUUAUUUUAGAUCUUAAAAACUAUUGUUCUUAUUUUCAUUGAAUCUAAUCAUCCCCUCGAAGUUUAUAUCUAUACUCCAUUUAUCAUCUUGCUAAUCCAAUUAGAAGGAUGAAUACUUGGUGAAGUAGGAUUCAGAAGGCACCUCUAAAGGAACUAUCUUUCUUUUCAGAUUCACCUAUCUUUAAUUUAGAAAUUUCACCUAUUCUCCUUACCUUUCACUGCCAUAUUCCAUGAUUAUAUCAGUUAUAACAUAAAAUAUAAAUUCUUAAUUAUAAAAAUAAAAAUAAAGGAUGAGCUAGUGCGCCCACCUAGUGGCAGUAGCCACGUCUCCUUUUAUUCGCGCAAUUUCUACUGCAUCGUCGAGGGAAGGGAUAAGGUCCCGAACGCUGUGGCCAGCAUCCUCUCCUCUCCCUUUUCCCCUCGCUCACUUCCUCCUCCCUCACCGGCAGAACCCUAGCCGCCUUCUCCUGCAGCACCUCAGCCGCCUCCUCUCCCUCCCGCCUCCUCUCCCUCUCCACCCAGCCGCCCCCUCCCUGACAGCCUCCACCUUCUCCCUCUCGCCCAGAGUAGGGCGGCCGGCGCGCCCCGCCCGAGCACCUCCCCGGGAAGCAGCCUGCCGGGAAGCAGCAGGUUCUCGUGGUGCGAUGGUGUUGCUGGGAAGGAGGAGGAGGUCAACCGCGUCCCUGGGGUGCCGGUGGAGCUGCUCCUCCGCGAGAUCCGGCCGCGGAGAGAGCCAUGGUGACCCAGCCCUUCUCCUCCCACCAAGCUCGCAUUGGUGCUCUUGUUGACUUCUUCCUCCUCCUCGGUGCUCAACAGGUUAGGCGAGGCUGCUGGUGGGGCGAAGAAGCAGGGGAGGCAGGCAACAAGGACGGGAAGCAGCGGGUUGUCGUGGUGCGGUGGUGCUGCUGGGAAGAAGGAGGAGGUCAGCCGCGUCCCUGGUCUGCCGGUGGAGCUGCUUCUCCGUGAGAUUUGGCCACGGAAAGAGCCAUGGUGACCCAGCUCUUCUCCUCCCGCGUCUCUUUGUUUAUCACCAAGCUCGCGUUGUUGCUCUCUUGUUGACUUCUUCCUCCUCCUUCGUGCUCAACAUGUGAAGCACAACCAGCUGGUGCAGAACAUCCACCCAACCUCGCCGCAUUUGGGCCUCUCAAGCAGGUGCACACACUCUUUUCAUCUUCCUAAUUUCCCUCCUCCUUCCAGUGUAUUUGUUUGUGCACAUUUUGUUUCUGUACGCCUACAAGGUGUUCGAUGAAAGUCUUAGUAGGCUGGAGGGAAGGAGUGCUGUAUGCAACCAUGUGAUUUCAUUCUUCCAAAAAUCGCCUAACGGUGUUUGAUGAAUGUCUUAGAAGUCUGGAGGACAGGAGUGAUCUAUGUAUGUGAUUUGCCGAAAAAGGCUUUCGCCUCGCUUUAUAUAUAAAGCACCGUUCAACAUCACCCAGUACAAACUCACGCCCACACAACACACGCACACACACACCCAAGGCAAGAUACAUAGGCGCUGAGCGCGGCAACACCAUGCCUAACACUACAUGAAGAGGUGAAACCACAUAUGACGAACCGUGGUCUCCAAGGCGGCGCCUUCAUGAAGGUGACGACACCAGAGCGCCGCCGCCGCCUGAUCCGAGGAUCAAAGUUUCCCUCGGAGCAACAUGAAGGGCAAUGAGAGCCGAGACGACACCUUCAAGAAGGGAACGAGUCCGCCGCCGCCGGUCCAUCCGAAGAAAGAGCAUGUUUUCACCCCGGCCACCAUUCACCGCCGCCGAAUGCCACACCCCGGUUACCACGCCGCCCACACGGCCAUGGCAACUGGGCAACACCAAGCCACUGGCUCUGCCCAAGAGCCCCGCGGAGCCACCAUCAGGGCCGCCACCCCGACAUCCAAGACCUUGACACCUCCUCACACGAGAUCAGCCGCUACCCCGACCAAAGACACGAGCAGAAAGGACCUGCUUUCGUACCCACGGGCUGCCCCGAGUGCCGAGACCCAAUAGGCUGGCCGAGGCUGGCCUCCAUCACCCCGUCCUCGGCACCGGGCGCGAGACGAGCUCGGUCCUACUGCCUAGCGCGAGACGAGCAUGGUCCUGCUGCCGGGCGCUAGACUGGCUCGGUCCUGCUGCCGGGCGCGAGACAAGGUCAGUCCUGCUGCCGAGCGCAAGACAAGCUCGGUCCUGCUGCCGGGUGCGAGACGAGUAAUGGACCGUCACUGGGGGAGGGUCAACCAUCGAUGAAGAUAGCGGACGGACGCCCGAAGAGAAGGGUUGAAGGUCCACACAGGCCGCACACCGACGGGCCGAUGCCGGAUAAGUCCAGCCGCUGCCGUGAACGACCCGCACCACCGCCAUGAGCCACCACCGCGAGGAGGAGACAAUCAUGGCAGACCACCACUGCGCCGCCGCCACCACCUACCAGUGCAGGGUGGCCACCCAUGGCCCAAGCCGCCCACGGCCCGCGCCGUCACACGGCGGAGCAAGCAAGCCAGCUGACCCCCGCCCGCCUGGACGCGCACCAACCGCCGCCACGCCUCCAUGGCCCUACUAGCCACAGCCCUCGUCGCCGGACGGGCCGCCAGCGCCAGAUUCGGCCGGAUUAGACUGGACUGCCCCGCACGAACCGCCCGAAGGACGAAACUCCGCCUUCACCGCACAGCCGCCGCGGCACCGACGAGCGCCCAUGCCACCAGCGUCGCGACCCGCAGCCCCGCCGCCGCGCCCCUGCUGGAUCCGCAGCACCCCGCGCCGCCGGAGACAGACGGGGAGGAGAGAGCCCCCGCCGCCACCUAGGCCAACCAGGCUUCCCCCGACGGCCCGCACGGGUGGCGGCGAGGAGGGCGGAGAAGGGCGGAGUCGAGGGGGGGCGGGGAAGACGAGGCCCGCCCGGCCGCUACGAGGUGGCGGCGCGGACGAGCGGGAGGGCGGAGUCACGAGACCUAACCUAUGGUCGUAUCCAUCAUGUAUGUGAUUUCAUUGUUAAAAAAAUCAGUUCCAGUCAAUUAUAACAAGAUGAUUUUGAGAUUAAUAAGAAUCCAUGAGGUAAAUAAAAAUGUAAAGAACAAAAGAACUAUCCGAUCAAAACAUAGCAAGAAUCCGUGUGGUAGAUAUUUGCUUCUAUCUUGUGGGGUUCUCGACCCAUAAACUAGCAUUUGGUAGCUUGAUUUCCUUCCCUGCACGAUAGGACUGUAGGAGACAUGAAACUCGUUAGCCUAUGAUGUGAUGUGGCUGCCGUUGGAAAUUUAUUCUGUCUAUCGCGAGGAUACUAUAUUAAGCAUGAAAUUAAUCAUUUAGAGUAUUGUUCAUGUUUUGCUAUUUCUUUCUUCAUGUGGCACCCUCUUGGAACUGUUAUGCAUCCGCCCAUGAUAAAAAAUCUGGUCCAAAAUUAUGUGGUGUACAGUUUCUCAAAAACUUGUUUGAAUUUAUCUAAUGUGGGUAGCAACAAUCUUGAUAUGAUGCUUCAAAGUAAAUUAGUUCGAGUUAUCAAUUUUAUGUUCUAUGAUUUGUAGACAAAAAUACAGAUGCUCGGUGCUAUAUAUAAUCAUGUGGUAUAAAUAAGAUAAUUAAGCUAUAUAAUUUUGUGCUUCAACCUCCUUUCAGUUUCAGAUGGCCAACCAUUAACUGUUAGAGAUGAGAAGUACCUAAUGUAAGACCAGAGGUGGGGUUCUGAUGGUUUUGCUGGAUGGCUGCAGCUAAUCGAGUGGUGUGAGACCCCUCUUGCGUCCCCAAGACAUUGGUCCAUGCUUCUUUUUUUGGAUGCGUGCCUCUAACAAGCAGAAUUCUUGUUUUGCAGCUACGCACAGCAAGAUUUUACACGUAAGAUGUUUGCUUACAUUCCCACCUUCAGUGCCUUGUACAACUGCUACUUUUCAUCUCACUUUUCCUGCAAUGUGUCAUGUUCAUAGUUUUCAAUGUCGACCUCACUUGAUAUCUUUUGGUUUUGUUACGAGAAGAUCAAGAUCUUUGAUAAGAUAGUAAUGACACUUUGUUCUGCAAUCAAGGAAUGAAUGGAACUUCAAGACCCUGUUGAACAUGCACUCAAUUUAGUCACAAAGAAAAAUAAGAACAAUUGUGUUGGGCAACCUCGCCCACAGGAGGAAAAGCUCACAGUUUGGAUGAGGAUCUGUAGUCCAAAGGUUGGUCAGGUCCUGAUGGAUUGAGAAGGUGAAUAAAUCUAUUCUUG
rnacentral:lncRNA from 1 species